rnacentral:tRNA from 1 species
GGUGGAGUCGCAUAGCGGCCGAGUGCGCACGCCUCGAAAGCGUGUGAGGGGAGACCCUCCGUGGGUUCAAAUCCCACCUCCACCGCCA